AUUGAACGCUGGCGGCAUGCUUUACACAUGCAAGUCGAACGGCAGCACGAAAGAGCUUGCUCUUUUGGUGGCGAGUGGCGAACGGGUGAGUAAUGCAUCGGAACGUACCGAGUAAUGGGGGAUAACUGUCCGAAAGGAUAGCUAAUACCGCAUACGCUUUGAGAAGGAAAGUGGGGGCGCUUCGGACCUCACGUUAUUCGAGCGGCCGAUGUCUGAUUAGCUAGUUGGUGGGGUAAAGGCCUACCAAGGCGACGAUCAGUAGCGGGUCUGAGAGGAUGAUCCGCCACACUGGGACUGAGACACGGCCCAGACUCCUACGGGAGGCAGCAGUGGGGAAUUUUGGACAAUGGGCGCAAGCCUGAUCCAGCCAUGCCGCGUGUCUGAAGAAGGCCUUCGGGUUGUAAAGGACUUUUGUUAGGGAAGAAAAGGAUAGUGUUAAUACCAUUAUCUGCUGACGGUACCUAAAGAAUAAGCACCGGCUAACUACGUG
rnacentral:rRNA from 1 species